rnacentral:rRNA from 1 species
GACAGAGGGUGCAAACGUUGUUCGGAAUUACUGGGCGUAAAGCGCGUGUAGGCGGCCCUGCAAGUCGGAUGUGAAAUCCCACGGCUCAACCGUGGAAGUGCAUUCGAAACUGCAGGGCUAGAGUCCUGGAGAGGAAGGUGGAAUGCUUGGUGUAGCGGUGAAAUGCGCAGAUAUCAGGAAGAACACCAAUGGCGAAAGCAGCUUUCUGGGACGGUACUGACGCUGAGACGCGAAAGCGUGGGGAGCGAACAGG